rnacentral:rRNA from 1 species
AGUAACACGUGGAUAACCUACCUAUAAGACUGGGAUAACUUCGGGAAACCGGAGCUAAUACCGGAUAAUAUUUUGAACCGCAUGGUUCAAAAGUGAAAGACGGUCUUGCUGUCACUUAUAGAUGGAUCCGCGCUGCAUUAGCUAGUUGGUAAGGUAACGGCUUACCAAGGCAACGAUGCAUAGCCGACCUGAGAGGGUGAUCGGCCACACUGGAGCUGAGACACGGUCAAG